rnacentral:rRNA from 1 species
CUUGCUUCUCUUGAGAGCGGCGGACGGGUGAGUAAUGCCUAGGAAUCUGCCUGGUAGUGGGGGAUAACGUUCGGAAACGGACGCUAAUACCGCAUACGUCCUACGGGAGAAAGCAGGGGACCUUCGGGCCUUGCGCUAUCAGAUGAGCCUAGGUCGGAUUAGCUAGUUGGUGGGGUAAUGGCUCACCAAGGCUACGAUCCGUAACUGGUCUGAGAGGAUGAUCAGUCACACUGGAACUGAGACACGGUCCAGACUCCUACGGGAGGCAGCAGUGGGGAAUAUUGGACAAUGGGCGAAAGCCUGAUCCAGCCAUGCCGCGUGUGUGAAGAAGGUCUUCGGAUUGUAAAGCACUUUAAGUUGGGAGGAAGGGUUGUAGAUUAAUACUCUGCAAUUUUGACGUUACCGACAGAAUAAGCACCGGCUAACUCUGUGCCAGCAGCCGCGGUAAUACAGAGGGUGCAAGCGUUAAUCGGAAUUACUGGGCGUAAAGCGCGCGUAGGUGGUUUGUUAAGUUGGAUGUGAAAUCCCCGGGCUCAACCUGGGAACUGCAUUCAAAACUGACUGACUAGAGUAUGGUAGAGGGUGGUGGAUUUGCUGUGUAGCGGUGAAAUGCGUAGAUAUAGGAGGAACACCAGUGGCGAA